UACUCCAGAGCGUGGCAAUCAUGUAUAAUUAAAUAUGAUUGACACCUCUGUGAGUGGA
rnacentral:pre_miRNA from 1 species